rnacentral:rRNA from 1 species
ACAGCCGUUGCACACGAGUCAAUCGACCUAAGCAGCCAGGGAAACCUGUUUCACUGUGCGUGUAUCAGCAAGCACCACAGCCUGAAAUAUGCUGCGAAAGGGAAUCCGGUU